GCACUGCUGAGGAGUCCCACAAUAGAAUUAAACGGUCGUCCAGUGC
rnacentral:hammerhead_ribozyme from 1 species